CUGAACGCAUCAUUAGCUGGGAAUCAUAGGUGAGGGAGAACUUUGAGAUGUGCUGGGUCGAGCAAGAUGGAGCAAGAUGGAGCAGUGGCUGUUAAUGACGAUGGGAAUCAGAAAAUCUACCUGAAUCAUUCAAAACAAACAAGAGGACUCGCAGAAAGUUCUCAAGUGAGUACCAGUCGCUGGGACAGUGCUGGCUCAGAGGACAACCCCAAGCCUGUGCUGUGCGCUGAGAUGCGAGCUAACGAGGCCCCGGGGCCAUGUAAAGUGCGCCGCCAUUUAGAGAGUCUCUGAGCCGGCUACCCGGCCACGUCCCCCCUCUCAUUGGAGGAGGGCGGGACCUGUGGAUACCGCGAUGGUUGGAGACGGGCCAUGGUGAUUGGCUGCCAGUGACAGCGCCGAUAAAGAUGGAGAACGGACUUACUGAUUGGCUGUCAGUGACAGUGGUGUCACGUCAAAGAUGGAAACAGAACUUACUGAUUGGCUGUCAGUGAAGAUGAUGUCACGUCAAAGAUGGAGAACAGACUUACUGAUCUGUCAAGAAAUGGUGGCAGCAUGCGUCCAUCUUGGACAGAGGAGGCUGACUCAAGUACUUCAGGGUAAAUUCGGUUUGAUUUCACUGCAGCAGGAGUUAAUAAUAAAAACCCUUCAAUCAUAUGUAACUGCG